GAUGAACGCUGGCGGCGUGCCUAAUACAUGCAAGUCGAGCGAACAGACGAGGAGCUUGCUCCUCUGACGUUAGCGGCGGACGGGUGAGUAACACGUGGAUAACCUACCUAUAAGACUGGGAUAACUUCGGGAAACCGGAGCUAAUACCGGAUAAUAUAUUGAACCGCAUGGUUCAAUAGUGAAAGACGGUUUUGCUGUCACUUAUAGAUGGAUCCGCGCCGCAUUAGCUAGUUGGUAAGGUAACGGCUUACCAAGGCAACGAUGCGUAGCCGACCUGAGAGGGUGAUCGGCCACACUGGAACUGAGACACGGUCCAGACUCCUACGGGAGGCAGCAGUAGGGAAGCUUCCGCAAUGGGCGAAAGCCUAACGGAGCAACGCCGCGUGAGUGAUGAAGGUCUUCGGAUCGUAAAACUCUGUUAUUAGGGAAGAACAAAUGUGUAAGUAACUAUGCACGUCUUGACGGUACCUAAUCAGAAAGCCACGGCUAACUACGUG
rnacentral:rRNA from 1 species